rnacentral:rRNA from 1 species
GAUGAACGCUAGCGAUAGGCUUAACACAUGCAAGUCGAGGGGCAGCACAAGGUAGCUUGCUAUCUGGGUGGCGACCGGCGCACGGGUGCGUAACGCGUAUGCAACUUGCCCUAUACAGGAGGAUAACCCGUCGAAAGACGGACUAAUACUGCGUAUGCUCACAACUUGGCAUCAAGUGGUGGGGAAAGAAAUUCGGUAUAGGAUAGGCAUGCGUCCCAUUAGCUUGUUGGUGAGGUAACGGCUCACCAAGGCAACGAUGGGUAGGGGAACUGAGAGGUUUAUCCCCCACACUGGUACUGAGACACGGACCAGACUCCUACGGGAGGCAGCAGUGAGGAAUAUUGGUCAAUGGGCGCGAGCCUGAACCAGCCAAGUCGCGUGAAGGAUGACUGUCUUAUGGAUUGUAAACUUCUUUUAUACGGGAAUAACAAGAGUCACGGGUGACUCCCUGCAUGUACCGUAUGAAUAAGCAUCGGCUAACUCCGUG